UCCGGUUUGGCACCGGCAGUCUCCCCAGAGUUCCCGGCUUUACCCGCUGGCAACUGAGGACAAGGGUUGCGCUCGUUGCGCCACUUAAGGCAACACCUCACGGCACGAGCUGACGACAGCCAUGCACCACCUGUGCAGGCUCCGUAGAGCGCCGGCUUUCACCGGCUUCACCCUGCAUGUCAAGCCCAGGUAAGGUGGGGAUGACGUGUCUAGGAGGGUG
rnacentral:misc_RNA from 1 species